UCGGGAAUUUUGGGCAAUGGGCGAAAGCCUGACCCAGCAACGCCGCGUGAGGGAUGAAGUAUUUCGGUAUGUAAACCUCGAAAGAGUGGGAAGAAUAAAUGACGGUACCAUUUAUAAGCUCCGGCUAACUACGUGCCAGCAGCCGCGGUAAUACGUAGGGAGCAAGCGUUGUUCGGAUUUACUGGGCGUAAAGGGCGCGUAGGCGGCGCGGUAAGUCACUUGUGAAAUCUCUGAGCUUAACUCAGAACGGCCAAGUGAUACUGCUGUGCUAGAGUGCGGAAGAGNCAACCGGAAUUCUUGGUGUAGCGGUGAAAUGCGUAGAUAUCAAGAGGAACACCUGAGGCGAAGGCGGGUUGCUGGGCCGACACUGACGCUGAUGCGCGAAAGCCAGGGGAGCAAACG
rnacentral:rRNA from 1 species